AGAGUUUCAGGGUGAGCUUGAGGUACGUCGGCUCGAUGAACCCAAAGAAGAGCUCCCACGGGUCAGUCGUCAGAAAAGCUCGGACCGCAUCAACCAGUUGGACUUGUUCAAGUGCGGCCCAGUCAAUGAAGUGGUCCACACCUAAGGGUCAGGCCCAAAGUAUCUGAAAGAGUUAUUCCUAUGGUCCUAAGGGAAACCAAAUAAAGGGCUGUCUGAUCUUCGCGGUAGGACCCGAGGAUGAUGCUGCUCCUUUCCUUUUCUUAGAAGUGGGGAUGGU
rnacentral:lncRNA from 1 species